ACUAAGUUUGUGAUCUGAUGGAACUUCAAUAUGUCUAUAUUCCGUUUCAGCUGUGAGUGAGGGUCUCCAGUCCCUUUGAUUUCCUCUCAGCUGUGGUUUGGUGACGCCCCAACACUUGUUGUGUGUCCAUCGCCCAAAGUGAUGAGACUCAUUCUGGCAGGGAGACCCACGGAGGAGGACACGAUGACAGGCAGCAUCGACGGCCUGGAGAUGUUCAGCAGCCCAGAAAAGGGACGAGGUCUCCGCGUCAGCAGAGCCUUCAGCGUCGGGGAGCUGCUGUUCAGCUGCCCGGCGUAUUCCUCCGUGCUGUCGGUCACCGAGAGAGGCAGCUGCUGCGACCUCUGCUUUCGCAGGAAGGAAGGAUUAGCAAGGUGUGGGAAAUGCAAGAAAGCGUUUUACUGCAAUACAAGCUGCCAGAAGGCAGACUGGGCCAUGCACAGGCUGGAGUGUUCAGCCAUGGUUGCGUUUGGGGAGAACUGGUGCCCCUCAGAGACGUCCCGUUUGGUCGCCCGGAUCCUGGCUAAGAAGAAAAUGCAAAAAGGGAGGUGUGAUUCUGAGAAGAUACUGCUCAUUGGAGAAAUGCAAUCACAUUUGGAGGAUGAAGACAAUGAGAAAAAAGAGAGGACUGAGCUGGACAUUGCAGGACUUGGUCGCUUUUUCUCCAAACACUUGGAGGUGCCGUCCCACAAAGACCUGCUCACACUCUUCUCACAGGUUGCCUGUAACGGUUUCACAAUAGAGGAUGAUGAGCUUUCACACAUGGGUACUGCAGUUUACCCAGACGUGGCUCUGAUAAACCACAGCUGUCUACCCAGCGUCAUCGUCACAUUCAACGGGACACUGGCCCAGGUCAGGGCCGUGCAGGACAUGAAACCUGGAGACGAGGUUCUCAUUAGCUACAUCGACCUCCUGUACCCCACGGAUGACCGCAACAGCAGGCUGAGGGAAUCCUACUACUUCACCUGCAACUGUCUGGAGUGCCAAAACAAACAAAAGGACAAGGUGAAGCUAAAGGUGCGGAAGCAGAGUGACCCCAUCGAGCCACAGGUCAUCAGUAACAUGACGCGCUACGCCAAAAACACCAUCAGAGAGUUCAGAGCUAUGAAAAGCACUAAAACUCCUAGUGAGUUGCUGGAGAUGUGCGAGCAGAGCUUGGAGGAAAUGGGAGCAGUAUUUGAGGACUCCAAUGUUUACGUUCUCCACAUGAUGUACCAGGCCAUGGGGGUGUGCAUUUACAUGCAGGACGCAGACGGAGCACUCCGAUAUGGAGAGAAGGUCGCAAGAUAUUACAGCAAACGUUACCAUCCAUACUCCUUAAAUGUGUCGUCCCUUUACCUGAAGCUGGGCAGGAUCUACAUGGCACUGGGGAGGCACUCGGCAGGAAUCAACGCUCUCACAAAGGCAAUGGCUAUAAUGGAAGUGGCUCAUGGGAAGGAUCACCAGUAUCUUAAAGACAUACGCAAAGAAUUAUCACAAAAAUGAGGAGGAUUUGAUUGGAGAGUUGAAAAUUUGUGAAACGGUCAACACGGUGUCUUUACGAGAGAAGAAAAUCCAGCAGUCAUGGUAUUUUCAACACAAGUGGGACUGGAGAAUUCUGCAUGCUCAUAAGCGAGUGUGUGUUUCCGUCUACAGGAAGGUGGACACACAGGUAAACCCAACUGAGCUUCAAAAUGUAUUUGGUCCUGGCAAAUUUUCCAUUUUUGGAACAUUUUUGAGGAUAGCCAGAUUGUCCGCAGUAAAUGGAGAUGGUCUCCUGGUUGUAUCACGAGCAUCUUUUUCCUUCCCAAAACAGCGCAGAAAUAAACAGAGUAGAACCGCCUGCUGAAAGAGUUUGUGUGUGAACGAGCUGAGGCCGCCUGCAGACACAACACCCACCAUGUGAAACGCGAUGGUGUCGUCUCUGCUCGUUAUCUCCACUGUGAUGGCUGACUUGUUGUGUGCUAUGGUACCGAUGUCCUUCCACCUGUCACACACACAGGAAUUAAACAUUCCCACCCGGCUGCAUCAUGAAUCGACUGCAAAAAUAAAGGGAAACCUACUUGUGGAGCAUGAUGGACCUGCCAUUUCUGUGUUUGACAAACACUCCAAUAAAAGACACUCCAAUAAAAAUG